UUGUACGCUGGCGGCAGGCCUAACACAUGCAAGUCGAGCGGAUGAAGGGAGCUUGCUCCUGGAUUCAGCGGCGGACGGGUGAGUAAUGCCUAGGAAUCUGCCUGGUAGUGGGGGAUAACGUCCGGAAACGGGCGCUGAUACCGCAUACGUCCUGAGGGAGAAAGUGGGGGAUCUUCGGACCUCACGCUAUCAGAUGAGCCUAGGUCGGAUUAGCUAGUUGGUGGGGUAAAGGCCUACCAAGGCGACGAUCCGUAACUGGUCUGAGAGGAUGAUCAGUCACACUGGAACUGAGACACGGUCCAGACUCCUACGGGAGGCAGCAGUGGGGAAUAUUGGACAAUGGGCGAAAGCCUGAUCCAGCCAUGCCGCGUGUGUGAAGAAGGUCUUCGGAUUGUAAAGCACUUUAAGUUGGGAGGAAGGGCAGUAAGUUAAUACCUUGCUGUUUUGACGUUACCAACAGAAUAAGCACCGGCUAACUUCGUG
rnacentral:rRNA from 1 species